rnacentral:rRNA from 1 species
CAGCAUCCUAGCCGAAGCGCGGACCUCAGUCCCGGCUGGCCGUAUUACACCCUGGGCUAUAACACCUCCACCGAAGUGGAGGCCACAUUCCCAGAGCCUUUAUCCGGCCGCCGAAACUGAUGCUGGCCUGUCCAAACUGAGUAAACCGGUCAGAAGACCGGCCGAACAGUUUAAACAAGUCUGAUUGCAAGCGCUUCCCUUUCAACAAUUUCACGUGCUUUUUAACUCUCUUUCCAAAGUGCUUUUCAUCUUUCGAUCACUCUACUUGUGCGCUAUCGGUCUCUCGCCAAUAUUUAGCUUUAGAAGAAAUUUACCUCCCAUUUAGAGCUGCAUUCCCAAACAACUCGACUCGUCGAAGGAGAUUUACAUAGGGUGCCAUUUCCUGUCACAUACGGGAUUCUCACCCUCUAUGACGUCCUGUUCCAAGGAACUUAGACAGGCGGCUUCCCCAAAUCAUCCUCUACAAAUUACAAUGCGAACCCGAAGGCUAGCUUUCAAAUUUGAGCUGUUGCCGCUUCACUCGCCGUUACUAGGGCAAUCC